UGUUCGUCCUUCGUCGAUCGCCGCCGACCUAUUAUUUUCACGCGUGACGACUAACGGCGGUGAUGCCAACAACAACAACAAAUAAUAAUAAUGAUAUUCCAUGCGCGGCAGCAGCGAUAAAAUAUAGAUUGCAGCGCACGACAAACGGAAAUCCAACGCAGAAAAUAAUAAUUACUAAUGUUAAAACAUUUUAACGGCGUUCAAAUUUUUUCGUUUUGGCAGUGAACAUUUUCGUACAUUAUCGUUUUUGCGUAUCGCUCGAUACCUACCUAUCAUGUUAUUAAAAGGAAAGGCGAUUAUUUUUAUAUCUGAAGUUCUACAGGUUUUUCAAAUUUUUCGAAAAACACCGAAAAUUCUUUUGCCACUAACAGUCGGACUGGGCGUCUACCUUGGAGUUUAAUUUGACUGUCACAAUUAUGCGGUAUGCAAUGGUGAAAAAUCAUUAAACUCAUGAUAGUGACCCGAUGAGAUCUAAACCACAGCAGGGGUAUCAAGAUUGUAUAGAGAUGGGCUAGUACAGUCCAGUAUGUGGUAUGCAAGGGUGAUUGAUCAUAAGACUCAAGAUAACGACAAGAUGAAACCUUUAUAAUAGUUGGUGUAUCAAGAUUGCAUAGUGGAGGAUUGUGCAGUCGAUUACGUGGUAUGCAAUGGUGAAACAUCGUAAAACUCCAGAUAAUAACCUGAUGAAAUAAAAUCACGAGAGGUGUAUCAUGAUUGCAUACAGAUGGGUUAAUACAGUCCAGUAUGUGGUACCUAUGCAAGAGUGAUUAAACAUAAAACUGAAGAUAACAACAAGAUGAAACCUUUAUCAUAGC